UCUCCUUCCACGCUGGGCAGGGACACGUCCAUGUCACCUUUGACUUUGGGGCCCUUCAGGUUCAGGUCGAUGUCGGGCAUGGAGAUCUUGGGGGCCUUGAUGUGCAUCUCAGGCAUCUUGAACUUGGGGCCCUUCAGUUUUCCUUCAGGACCCUCAAUGUCCAGCUCUGGACCUUCAAUGUCCACCUUGGGGCCGGACACAUCCAGGUUUCCUGUUGGGAGGUUCACGUCCACCUCGGGACCUUCUCCCUUCAGCCCAAAUUUGGGCAUCUUGAACUUGGGGAACUUUAUUUUCCCUUCUGGGCCGUGGAUGUCGACGUCGGGUGCCUCAAGGUCCACUUUGGGGCCUUUGAUGUCCAGUUCAGGACCCUUCAGGUCACCUUCCAGCUUUGGGAGGGACACGUCCACAUCACCCUUGACCUUGGGGCCCUUCAGGUUCAGAUCAAAGUCGGGCAUGGAGAUCUUGGGGGCCUUGAUGUUCAUCUCGGGCAUCUUGAACUUGGGGCCUUUGAUCUUCCCAUCGGGACCUUCAAUGUCCACAUCAGGGAGGUCCACAUUGACUUUGGGGCCUUUGAUGUCCAGUUCAGGUCCCUUCAGGUCACCCUCCAGCUUGGGGACAGAGACAUCAACAUCUCCCUUCACUUUGGGGCCUUUGAGGUUCAGGUCGAUGUCGGGCAUGGAGAUCUUGGGGGUCUUGAUGUGCAUCUCGGGCAUCUUGAACUUGGGGCCCUUCAGUUUUGCCUCAGGACACUCCAGCUCAACGUCAGGAAGGUCGACAUCGACUUUGGGGCCUUUGAUGUCCAGUUCAGGACCCUUCAGGUCACCUUCCAGUUUUGGAGCAGAGACAUCGACGUCCCCCUUCAAUUUGGGGCCUUUGAGGUUGAGGUCGAUAUCGGGCAUGGAGAUCUUGGGGGCCUUGAUGUGCAUCUCGGGCAUCUUGAACUUGGGGCCUUUGAUCUUCCCCUCGGGACACUCCAAAUCCAUGUCAGGAAGGUCCACAUUGACUUUGGGGCCUUUGAUGUCGAUGUCUGGGGCUUUGAGGUCCCCCUCAAGCUUUGGAGCAGAGACAUCGAUGUCCCCCUUCAAUUUGGGACCUUUCAGGUUGAAGUCAACGUCGGGCAUGGAGAUCUUGGGGGCCUUGAUGUGCAUCUCGGGCAUUUUAAACUUGGGGCCUUUGAUCUUCCCCUCGGGACCCUCAAUG
rnacentral:lncRNA from 1 species